rnacentral:rRNA from 1 species
UACGUAGGGGGCAAGCGUUGUCCGGAAUCAUUGGGCGUAAAGCGCGUGUAGGCGGCCCGGUAAGUCCGCUGUGAAAGUCGGGGGCUCAACCCUCGGAUGCCGGUGGAUACUGUCGGGCUAGAGUGCGGGAGAGGCGAGUGGAAUUCCUGGUGUAGCGGUGAAAUGCGCAGAUAUCGGGAGGAACACCUGUGGCGAAGGCGGCUUUCUGGGCCCUACCUGACGCUG